UAGGGAAUUUUUGCGCAAUGGGGGCGAAAGCCUGACGCAGCAAUGCCGCGUGAAUGUUAAACCCUUCGGGGUGUAAAGUUCUGUCAGUGGGGACGAACAAAUGACGGUACCCACAGAGGAAGCACCGGCUAACUCCGUGCCAGCAGCCGCGGUAAUACGGAGGGUGCAAGCGUUGUCCGGAAUCAUUGGGCGUAAAGAGUUCGUAGGCGGUUUGUUAAGUUAGAUGUUAAAUACUGAGGCUCAACCUCAGCACGGCAUUUGAUACUGGCAGACUUGAAUGCGGUAGAGGUAAAGGGAAUUCCUGGUGUAGCGGUGAAAUGCGUAGAUAUCAGGAGGAACAUCGGUGGCGUAAGCGCUUUACUGGGCCGUAAUUGACGCUGAGGAACGAAAAGCCAG
rnacentral:rRNA from 1 species